CCUGGAAGGAAUAUAAGGGCUGCUGUCCAGUGUCUUUUACAUCACGCUUUGAGGUGGCUGUCCAGGAAACUACUGCCUUGAGAAAAUUGCAGCUGUCUGCUUUAAUCAUUUCUAUUACCUGGCUGGCUCUGAAGGCAGAUACAACUGAAACUGCUGGCCUAAGCAUUUAGUGCUUUGAAGAUGAGCUCCAAGGGGAAGAGCCAAACUCGAAGAAACCAGAGCCGUGUGCCUUGGUACGGAAAUAAGUCAUAGAUUAUAUUCUUCCUCGAGUGAAAUACUAUUCCAACUGAAUAUUUAUAUUCUUCCCUCCACUAAAAUGCUAUUGAAAAUGAAUGUGAUUCUUGUGGGAAUUCGAACAUUGCAUAUUGUCCAGUUGACAGAGUCAUUUAUAAAAGUUGGGAUAUCUUAUACCCCAUCCGGGCUUAAUUAGAGUUUAUAAAGAUCACUGGCAGUUGCAAUAGAAAUAUUGUAUGUUUCCUCCCCCCGGUGACUUUCCCUAGUUCUUUUAUGAGGGCCUUUAAAACUCAUUUAAGUCUCGCUGAAGUUAUUCAUAAAGAUAGAUACCAGCCAUUCUCCGGGAGAGUCUGAUCCUCCGCACCUUCCUCUUCCCCCAACAUUUCUUGGAUAACUGCACACAGGUCAGUUCCAAAUUCUGUCGCUUCCCCUAAUAGGCUUUUCAAAG
rnacentral:lncRNA from 1 species